ensembl:miRNA
GGUAUUAGGUUGGUGCAAAAGUAAUUGCAGUCUUUGCCAUUAAUUUUAAUGUCAAAAGCACAAUUCCUUUUGCACCAAUCUAAUAAUUUA